GCAUUGUGCUUAACACCACAGGCUUGGGUUUACUGGGUCAAAAGAGUCUGCAGAGUUCUGAAAACUGUUCCCACAAUCUGCAUGCCCCAAUCUACACAAAGCACCAUGUGGCUGAGAAACCGGUUAUAACAGCUGCAUAGUACUCCAUUGUGUAUAUGUACCACAUGAAGCUCCUUUCUGAAUGAUCUAUCU